rnacentral:rRNA from 1 species
UGGGGAAUCUUGCACAAUGGGCGAAAGCCUGAUGCAGCAACGCCGCGUGCGGGAAGACAGCCCUAGGGUUGUAAACCGCUUUCAGCAGGGAAGAAACUGACGGUACCUGCAGAAGAAGAUGCGGCCAACUACGUGCCAGCAGCCGCGGUGACACGUAGGCAUCAAGCGUUAUCCGGAUUUAUUGGGCGUAAAGAGCUCGUAGGCGGUUCGGUAAGUCGGGUGUGAAAACUCUGGGCUCAACCCAGAGAGGCCACUCGAUACUGCUGUGACUAGAGUGCGGUAGGGGAGCGGGGAAUUCCUGGUGUAGCGGUGAAAUGCGCAGAUAUCAGGAGGAACACCAGUGGCGAAGGCGCCGCUCUGGGCCGUAACUGACGCUGAGGAGCGAAAGCAUGGGUAGCAAACAGGAUUAGAUACCCUGGUAGUCCACACCGUAAACGAUGAAUGCCAGUCGUCGGGUAGCAUGCUAUUCGGU